CAAUAAUUUAGUAUUUAUCUGCAGAAAAUGAGAAAUGGUCAAAAUAACAAAAAGAUGCAGUGCUUUUAGACCUCAAAUAAUACAAAGAAAACAAGUUUAAUUUAGAAGCAACAAUGCUAAUGAUUUAACUCAGGAAGAGUUCAGAAACCAAUAUUUGGUGGAAUAACCAGGAGGUUUUGGUUCAGCGCAGUGGCCUCUUAGUUUAUUCCAUAGGUGUAAAACCAGCUGACCAAAUGUGCUGGUUGCUAGGUAACAGUGCAGUGACGCAAUAACGGGAGGCUCGUUUUCCAGACGCCAAAAAAACAGCUGGGUGAUUUUUUAAUGUUUGUUUUUAGAAGCAGUAGAGAAUCAAAUGGAAGUUCAAAAAGUAAAUUUGGCAUAAUAGGUUCUCUUUUAAAAAAAUCUAUUUAAAUGUUUCUUUAUUUGACACAAAUGGUAACAUUUGCAAAUGUAUUUAUACUAUUUCUAAAAAUUUACAACUAAAAUCAAUAUAUUUUAAUUGGACCAACAAAGUCGUGCAUAACUGAGAAAUGUUUUCAAAAUGUUCUGCAAAUAAAAAUCAAAGUUGUUGAAUUCAACUUUGUGUUUCCACCUUUCCAGAAAUGGAAAUUAAAAAGUUCUAAUUAGUAACACUGGAUUUUGUUAAAUUGUCUGCAUAUGUAUUUAUAUUUCUGAUAAUUUUCUAUCACACAAAAUCCCAGUAAAAACAUUGGAAGUUUUUAGCUGUAAUGUGACAAAACGUUACAAUUUGCAAUCGUUUUUGAAAAAUGGUUCAAAUCUUGACAUUCUUUGAGAUCAAGUCAAAUUUUCCCCAACAUUAAAUUUUUAUUAAUAUCUAUUUAUGCUUUUUCAAUUUGUCAUUCUGAGGCUUAAAAACUGUAAAUCAAAAGGAGAAAUUUUAAAAAUGAAGAUGGUAAAACUGCCAUUUUAUAUCGUCAUGCAUUUUGUUUUAUCAUAUUCCAGCUUUUUAAAAUCUGACUUGUUGUUUUUAUUACUGAUUCAGAGGUCAGAUUUAAACCGGAUUUUUCUUUAAAAUGACACCGAGCGCCAUAAUGUUUGUUUUUAUACAUUCAACAUUUCAUCGUGUUUCGUGUUUGAUAUUUGUGUACAGAAUGUAAUGCUUUUUAUUUAUGACUGAUUUUCUGUUAGUAAAUCCUAAUUGUUUUCCUUCAUUUGCCUGAUUUAAUAACAUUAAUCAACAGAAGGCGACAGACAUUACAGGUUUGAACAUUUAUUACUAAAAGUUUUCACCAGAAAUGAACAAAGAUCGACAGUUUUCUGGGUUUUUUUUCCUACACAACCAUAAUACGGUUUGUUUUAAGGUGAGAAAUAGGCAGAAGUCCAGAGACCAGUUUGUGGUAAAUAACCGUAAAUAUUAAAGUGAUUGUCAAAGCUGCAGAAUAUCACAGAAAUAACCUUCAUCUCGCCCAACUUUAGAACAAAACAAAAAGGAAUACACUUUGAUCGAACAGCCGAAAUUCACAAUAAAACACAAAGUGGAGACAAAUAAACCCAAAUAAAUCUAGAAAAUAUUGCAAUUGAGCUUCAAUUUCAGUUACAAAAGUAGUUUUAAAAAUUAUUUUUUUCUAUAAUUAUGCGUUUUAUUCAUUCCUUUUUGUUGUAUUCCUUCAAUCCAUACAUGCAAGUGCUUUGUUACCGUAAAACGUUUUUAACGAGGCACAAAUGGACGUUAAAAAAAUAAACUUUCAGAAAUAACAGGGGUUCUGUUGGAACCGAUAUCCUAACUUUCAUUUGCAUUUUUUGUAAAAAUCAGUUGAACCAGUUAGUGGCAGAUAUUUAUUUAUGCUUUGGACACUUCAGCAAGUAUUUUCUGUUAAAAAUGGAUUACAAAAUAAGCUUCAUACAUCAACAUUUUCAAUGAGUUCAUCAACUUCCACUAUUAAAUCAUACCUAUUACUUUGCUUAAACUACAAAUCCAAGUUCCAAAUAGUUUUUACUGUUUAUAAAAAGUAUCGUCUGCUCUGAUAAACUUUGAUAUUCAAAGCAAAGUGUUAAGUUUAUGAAGCAAAACUUUUCCUCUUCACAUUGAAGAGUUAGGAAUUUAAUUAUUGAGUCAUAAAAAUGGAGAAAGUGAUGAAAGUUUGUAGCUGUUUAUAAAAGACAAUAAACUUCCUGUUUUAAGUUUUAACUUUAUUAGAUUGGGACUAUUUAAGUAAAUGCAUAUUUAAUAAUAUGUUAAUAUUUCCAGGGUUUCUCCUGGUGUAUUAUAAGCCUGGCAGGCUGCCAGGCUCAGCAUUGUUUAUUUUAAGACCUUAUACUGUGUGUUUAGGUGUAAAUAUUGUCUUCCAUUACAAGUGAUUUUUUAAUAUUUCCUGGCAUUUAUCACAUUUUCUGAAUUUGAGAAUCUGUAGUUUGACACACUGUAGUUCCUAAAACUCAACAAUCAUCCAAACUGCCAAACCUUAAAGUUAUAUAUUAAAAAAAUGCAUAAAAUUCUGGUUUGUUAUAGAUCUAAAGCAGUGUAGAUUCACAGUUACGGCUUCCUCAACAUACCUCUGCUUAAAUUUUUUUAUUUUAUUUCUCCAUCUCAUCGAAUUUGUUGAAUUUGAUGAACACGGACAGAGAACUCCGCCAUGUAAAAAUCACCUAAAGUAACCGAACAUAGAUUAUUCUGCAGCCAGUUUUUGUAGGCCAUGAGUUACACGAUGAUGACAUCGCCGUCCUUUAUUUCAAAAUUGUAUAUCUGCUUGGCUUCAAACACUUAAAAACUGUCUAUUUGCAUAAACUCGACUUAAAAUGAUACUUCUAAAAAAAGUUUCCAGUUCAGGAAAACAGGCUAAAGGGGAAAAGCCUUUAACAUUUUUUUUGUUUUGUAGCUGAAGUGACCUGAGGAGACGUGGGUUGGACCAGGGACCAAGUCCUUGGUUGUGGGUUGUCCUUUAUAAUUUGAGGCAAUUAUAAAAUUACCUCAAAAAGUGACAAAAAUAACUUUUUUAACCAAUAUUUAAAAGAAGAUUUCACCAAAGUUGUACUUUAUUGGUUGGAGCUCUAAUAGCAGCUUUUUCUUCUCGGUUUAAGAAUUGUUCUUGUUUUGUUUUUUUUGUCAUAAGUGCACAUUUCUGUCCGCCAGAUCCUGUUUUAUGCCUCGUUGAUUCAUAAUACUUCAAUUUUUAAAGGAUUAACAGCAACAAAAAAAAGAACACAAAAAUUCUGGUUUCUGUUAAAAUUCUAACAGGUUUUUAAGGCAUUUCUGUUUGCAAAUGACACUGCAGUAAAAAAAAAAAAGCUGUGAGUAGUGAUCUAG